AGAGAGUGGGUCGUCCCCCUUUGUGGUCGGUGUACAGGUGGUGCAUGGUUGUCGUCAGCUCGUGUCGUGAGAUGUUGGGUUAAGUCCCGCAACGAGCGCAACCCUUGUCCUUAGUUGCCAGCAUUAAGUUGGGCACUCUAAGGAGACUGCCGGUGUUAAACCCGGAGGAAGGUGGGGAUGACGUCAAGUCCUCAUGGCCCUUAUGUCCAGGGCUACACACGUGCUACAAUGGCCGGUACAAAGGGCUGCAAUACCGCAAGGUGGAGCGAACCCCAAAAAGCCGGUCUCAGUUCGGAUUGGAGUCUGCAACUCGACUCCAUGAAGUUGGAAUCGCUAGUAAUCGCGGAUCAGCAUGCCGCGGUCGAAUACGUUCCCGGGCCUU
rnacentral:rRNA from 1 species